rnacentral:lncRNA from 1 species
GAGCCCGGAUGGAUGCACAGUUGCAUCAGCAGCAGGAGAUGAAACUCUGAGGUUUUGGAAUGUUUUUCGGAUGCCUAAAGUGGCAAAACCUGCAUCCAAGACAAAUUCCGAGCCAUUUGGUCACUGGAACAUUCGAUGAUUGUUGGCAUGAGAAAGCAAAGCAGAUUCUUUACUGCAUGAAAUUCUAAGAUCGAAGAAAACAAAAAUGAUUAACAAGUCCAUAGGUACAAAUUUUUGACAAUGUCCUUUAUUGUAUUCAUUCCACUAUAUUUUUUAAGCUAAUUAUUUUCUAUAAUUUCCAUUUUCUGACAGGGGGUUUCUACUGACAAUUGGGUUUCUGCAAUUCCACCCCGACAGUGCCUUUUUUUCUAAUGCCUUCGUAUUUUCUCAUGCGAAGUUCAGUUACACUGCGUAUUGUCUUUUAAGCUACACAUGUCCAUAGGUACAAAUUAUUGACAAUACGACUGAAAAUCAACUUCUGGAAAGACAGGUCUCCUUUCUCUGUUAAGCAGUCUUUUUUAUCAUGUUUUUCAUUGUUUGUCCUUGCAUGACUCCUUUUGUCAUUUGGCAGUGACUGCUCUUCUGCUGGACUUCUAAUUAAUCCUAUUAAUUAGGAGCUUCCCCAGUGUUGGGGAGGUCAAUAAAAUUUAUUAAUCCUAUUAUUCAAUAGAUAUUCAUGUUUUACACUAAAUACCUCAUUUUUCUCGUCUUAAGGCAACUAUUAUGGCCGGGUUACUUUUUUAGCUCUUUUUCUUCUUUAUUUUUCAUAUUUUCUUUCCUGCAGAAAGCAAGUCCACCAAAGAUGCACAAAACAAAGUUGCAGAAGCUAGAAACUUUUUUUGAAACGUCUCCAGGGAACUGGUGAUGCAGUUAUGUUACACUCACAAAAUAAGAGCAGCCUCAGACAGCUGGAGUUAACAUUCACUCUGUGCGACUAAUUGAGGAACAUAGAGGUGGUAUGUUAUGUUAGUUACCUCUACGUCAUUCUAGUUACUGCCAUGUUUUGUAGUUACAACUCUUUUAAGUCGAGCAAAUCUGAUAUUUUGCAAAAGACCAUUUGACAUGUAAAUAUCCAGAGGUACUAUGUUAUGAGAUAGACCUUUUUUUUUUUUUUGCAUGAUAAAAUAAGGGUAGUAAGAGAUUUCUGUUUAACAUUGGUCAGUUCACUCCUUGGAAUCAGCUUCUGCUUUGCAAUUGGUCAGUUCACUCCUUGUUUCCAAAAAAUGGCUCAUUACAAGAUCAGAUGUGGCCUGAAUUGUCACAUUUGGUCAUAUCUGCCUCAACAUAGAUCGGGGGAGAACAUUCUCUCCAUUGCUCUUGGAAAUACCGUGUAUAUGUGGGAUGCAUCUAAUGGUGCUACAUCAGAACUUGUCACAAUUGAUGAAGAAAAUGGCCCUGUUACCGGUGUCAAAUGGGCUCCCGAUGGACGGCACAUUGCUGUUGGCCUGAACAACUCGGAGGUUCAGAUAUGGGAUUCGACAGCAGCUAGACAGGUGUUUAUCCUCUAAUAUUUUCUUAAUAUUUAUGAAGGAUUGGACUCUAACUCAAAUCUAGCUAGGUACCUCUAUCCAAUUGAUUUGACGUGGAUAGAGGUCUAUUUUGUCCAAUCCAGUUGAUCAACUGUAAACCUACAAUUCGUUUAAAAAGUCAUAGUGCUUAUUUUCAUGUACUUCCAAUGCAGCUGAGAACUUUGAGAGGCAUUCAUGGGUCACGAGUUGGUGCUUUGGACUGGAACAAUCACAUUUUGACUACUGGUGGCAUGGAUGGUCAGAUCAUUAACAAUGAUGUUAGAGUGAGGGCACACAUUGUUGAAACUUAUAGAGGACAUACUCAAGAAGUUUGUGGACUUAAAUGGUCAGCCUCGGGUUCACAGCUAGCAAGUGGUGGAAAUGAUGAUCUACUCCACAUAUGGGACAGUUCCAUGGCUUCAUCUAAUUCUCCAACACAGUGGCUGCACAGGCUCGAGGAACAUACUGCUGCUGUCAAAGCUCUUGCCUGGUGUCCUUUCCAGGGUAAUUUACUGGCCUCUGGUGGAGGUGGAAGUGACCAGCGCAUAAAAUUCUGGAACACGCACUCUGGUGUGUGCUUGAACUCGGUUGACACUAGCUCACAAAUUUGUGCUUUAUUGUGGAGUAACAAUGAGCGUGAAAUGCUUAGCUCUCACGGGUUUACAGAAAAUCAGCUCACUCUCUGGAAAUACCCCUCCAUGGUGAAAAUAGCUGAGCUCACUGGGCAUACAUCAAGAGUUCUUUUUAUGGUUCAGGUACCGAGUUGUAUCUUAUUCGAAGAGUAAUGUAAUGCCACCAUCUUUUAACAUCUUAAAUCUGAUCCUUUUCUUGUGGUCUUUGAUUUAGAGCCCGGAUGGAUGCACAGUUGCAUCAGCAGCAGGAGAUGAAACUCUGAGGUUUUGGAAUGUUUUUCGGAUGCCUAAAGUGGCAAAACCUGCAUCCAAGACAAAUUCCGAGCCAUUUGGUCACUGGAACAUUCGAUGAUUGUUGGCAUGAGAAAGCAAAGCAGAUUCUUUACUGCAUGAAAUUCUAAGAUCGAAGAAAACAAAAAUGAUUAACAAGUCCAUAGG